GAGGAAUUUUGCUGAUACAAAUUCGAGGGUCUUCUUUAUUUACUCAUCGGAGUUGUUUACCUUGCACUCUUAGGUGACUCUCAAUUGGCUUUUAUUCAGAUUCUGGGUGUGCUCGGAUCUGGGCCAUUGCGAGUUUUGCCUUUAAGUUGCUGGUUACAUCUUCACUUGGCGUACUUCGACAACUUUGACUCUUGAUUGAGGCCAUUCAAUUGAGGAUUUUUGCUUGGAUAUACUUUUCUUUUUGGAAGCGUGGAUAUUUUGCUUUUGUGUGGGCUAUCUCGUCUACUCCAACAUGGUUCGGGUGAUGUUUAACUUGCACUUUAGGCGGCUCAAUUGGCUUUAUUCAGAUUCUGGGUGCGCUCGGAUCUGGGCCAUUGCGAGUUCGACUUUUAAAGAUUGCUUGUUACAUCUUCUCUUGGCGUGAUUCUAUGUGGACUAGAUGACUCAAUUCUUUAAUAGGUCUUGGGUGCGCUCGGACCUAGGAUUGCUCGAGUCUAGUUCCAAUGGAGUUGUUACUUUUGGCGAGCGCAUGCUUCCGCUCCACUACUACCAGGUUUAAUGGAGUUGUUACUUUUGGCGAGCGCAUGCUUCUACUCCACUGCUAGGUGUUAUAAAGCUCGAA
rnacentral:lncRNA from 1 species